rnacentral:rRNA from 1 species
GACGAACGCUGGCGGCGUGCUUAACACAUGCAAGUCGAACGGAAAGGCCCUGCUUUUGUGGGGUUCUCGAGUGGCGAACGGGUGAGUAACACGUGAGUAACCUGCCCUUGACUUUGGUAUAACUUCAGGAAACUGGGGCUAAUACCGGAUAGGAUCUCCUGCUGCAUGGUGGGGGUUGGAUAGUUUCGGCGGUUGGGGAUGGACUCGCGGCUUAUCAGCUUGUUGGUGGGGUAGUGGCUUACCAAGGCUUUGACGGGUAGCCGGCCUGAGAGGGUGAACGGGGACAUUGGGACUGAGAUACGGCGCAGACUCCUACGGGAGGCAGCAGUGGGGAAUAUUGUACAAUGGGCGGAAGCCUGAUGCAGAAACGCCGCGUGCGGGAUGACGGCCUUCGGGUUGUAAACAGCUGUCGCCUGUGACGAAGCGGGAGUGACGGUAAUGGGUAAAGAAGCACCGGCUAACUACGUG